AGACGGAAGCAGCAGCAUUCCGCUUGCAGGUUUUUGAAAAAACAAAUGGGGCAAGAGAGGCCAGGACCACGCCUGACUCAGGCGAUCGGACGGGCAGGGAGGCUGCAAGGCAUGGCAUGAGCAGGUGGAGCUGUCAGGACUGCCCCAGCCCCUGGCUCAAAGAUGCCCGACCCCAGGACCCUGCCUCGCUGGAUGGUGAAGGCCAACUUCCCCUCUGUUGGAGCUGGCCUGGGCGUUGUGGGAAGGGCUGGGAGGAGGCCCAGGACAAUGCAGAACAGACAGGACGUUUCACAGAGCAGGCUGCCAUGUCCCUCGGGGCCUUGGGGGCUGCUGAGGCCCUGAGAAAGGUCACUGGAGGCCUGGCCGGAAGUGCAGGGUUAUCUCAGUACUUGAUUUAAGGCUCCUGCAGCUGAAAAGCUGCCCCACACGGCGGACCGGGUGGAGGAAGUCAGCUGUGCUGCUUAACCGUGGAGUCUCCGUCCCGGUCCUGCUCACCAGCUCUGCAAAGGCCUUGUCCUCCCUGCCUGAUUCUCGGCACCAUUUUUAACACGCCUAUGGAGAGGCCACGUUGAGUCCAGAGGUCCGUGCGCCUCAUGGCCACAUCACGGCACCCGUUCACCCACACAAGGGCCAGGAGCAUCCCCUAGGGAGGAGGAGAUGGCAGAUCUGCACAGGCUCUGCGCUCCUCUCUCUCCGGAGCGUCCUCUCCUCUGUGUGGCAGGCUCGGCGCGUGAUGGAGGAGCCCCUUCUGCAGGGCUCUGUUUAGAGGGUGCCCGCCCCACAGCCUGUGGCUGCUCCUACUCAUGCCAGGUGAGGCUCCUACACCCACCAGUGGCCACCGGGGAGUCACAGCUCCUUCUGCAUCAUCCGCCUGACCUGUUUCCUCAUCUGGGAUGACAACCAGAUCCAGCUCUGAGGUCCGUGCCCUGAGUAGAAAAGUUCACACAGCAAAGUUUCCGGAGCCUUCCCUGACGCGCCACGUGUCCGUCCAUAACUGGUCAUCCUCCACAUCCUGUGAGGCACGUCUCAGCACCUCUUCGUGCAAGCGCCCGCACUAGACGUUUGAGAAACAGAUGUGAGCAGGCGUGGUCCUGACCUCCAUCCCGAGGUUGGG
rnacentral:lncRNA from 1 species